AUGCAAAUGUUAAUCUGUGGUUGCUCACACUGUCAUCUAGGACGACCAUCGUCAUCUGAACCAGUUCAUAGCUCAUGCUGCUCUCGACCUCGUAGAUGAGAACAUGUGGCUAUCGAACAACAUGUACUUGAAAACUGUGGACAAGUUCAACGAGUGGUUUGUGUCGGCAUUUGUCACUGCGGGGCAUAUGAGGUUUAUUAUGCUUCAUGACAUAAGACAAGAAGAUGGAAUAAAGAACUUCUUUACUGAUGUUUAUGAUUUAUAUAUAAAGGUAUGGUAUGUUCUAUAAUUUUUAAAUUCUGAUGAGAAAGGAUUCGACCUUUGUCAGGAAACUGGCCUAUUGAAGUAACUCCCUUAGGCUGCAGUUUACCUUUCAGACUAGCUUUCCCCCAUCAGAACUAUCUCUGGCAACUCCCUCCGCAGGUAAGUCUUCACAGCCAGGUGAAUAUGUAUUUAGGAACACAACUUCAUGGUA
rnacentral:lncRNA from 1 species